rnacentral:rRNA from 1 species
GAUAAACGCUAGCGGCAGGCUUAACACAUGCAAGUCGAGGGGCAGCCUAGAUUGUAGCACUACGACUGGUGGCGACCGGCGCACGGGUGCCUAACGCGUAUGCAACCUACCCGUCACAGGGGCAUAAUCCGGAGAAAUCUGGUCUAAUACCCCAUAACAUAUGGAUCGGCAUCGGUUCACGUUGAAAUUUUCGGAGGUGACGGAUGGGCAUGCGUAGCAUUAGCUUGUUGGGGAGGUAACGGCUCACCAAGGCGACGAUGCUUAGGGGGCCUGAGAGGUUUUCCCCCCACACUGGUACUGGGACACGGACCAGACUCCUACGGGAGGCAGCAGUGAGGAAUAUUGGUCAAUGGGCGCAAGCCUGAACCAGCCAUGCCGCGUGCAGGAUGACGGCUCUAUGAGUUGUAACUGCUUUUGUACGAGGGUAAAGUGGGUUACGUGUAACCUUUUGGAAGUAUCGUACGAAUAAGGAUCGGCUAACUCCGUGCCAGCAGCCGCCGUAA